rnacentral:rRNA from 1 species
UACGGAGGGUGCGAGCGUUGUCCGGAAUCACUGGGCGUAAAGGGCGCGUAGGUGGCCGAGCAAGUUCGCGGUGAAAGCCCGGGGCUCAACCCCGGGUCGGCCGUGGCAACUACUGGGCUGGAGCACUGUAGGGGCAGAUGGAAUUCCGGGUGUAGCGGUGGAAUGCGUAGAGAUCCGGAAGAACACCGGUGGCGAAGGCGGUCUGCUGGGCAGUUGCUGACACUGAGGCGCGACAGCGUGGGGAGCAAACAGG